CAAGUCGAGCGGAAGGCCACUUCGGUGGUACUCGAGCGGCGAACGGGUGAGUAACACGUGAGUAAUCUGCCCUUGGCUUCGGGAUAGCCACCGGAAACGGUGAUUAAUACCGGAUAUGACCACUUCUCGCAUGGGAUGGUGGUGGAAAGUUUUUCGGCCAGGGAUGUGCUCGCGGCCUAUCAGCUUGAUGGUGAGGUAAUGGCUCACCAUGGCUUCGACGGGUAGCCGGCCUGAGAGGGUGACCGGUCACACUGGGACUGAGACACGGCCCAGACUCCUACGGGAGGCAGCAGUGGGGAAUAUUGGACAAUGGGCGGAAGCCUGAUCCAGCAACGCCGCGUGAGGGAUGACGGCCUUCGGGUUGUAAACCUCUUUCGCCUAUGACGAAGCGCAAGUGACGGUAAUAGGUAAAGAAGCACCGGCCAACUACGUGCCAGCAGCCGCGGUAAUACGUAGGGUGCGAGCGUUGUCCGGAAUUAUUGGGCGUAAAGGGCUCGUAGGCGGUUUGUCGCGUCGGGAGUGAAAACCAGGUGCUUAACACCUGGCUUGCUUUCGAUACGGGCAGACUAGAGGUAUGCAGGGGAGAACGGAAUUCCUGGUGUAGCGGUGAAAUGCGCAGAUAUCAGGAGGAACACCGGUGGCGAAGGCGGUUCUCUGGGCAUGACCUGACGCUGAGGAGCGAAAGUGUGGGGAGCGAACAGGAUUAGAUACCCUGGUAGUCCACACCGUAAACGUUGGGCGCUAGGUGUGGGGUCCAUU
rnacentral:rRNA from 1 species